GAUGAACGCUGGCGGCGUGCCUAAUACAUGCAAGUCGAGCGAACGGACGAGAAGCUUGCUUCUCUGAUGUUAGCGGCGGACGGGUGAGUGACACGUGGAUAACCUACCUAUAAGACUGGGAUAACCUCGGGAAACCGUAGCUAAUACCGGAUAAUAUUUUGAACCGCAUGGUUCAAAAGUGAAAGACGGCCUUGCUGUCACUUAUAGAUGGAUCCGCGCUGCAUUAGCUAGUUGGUAAGGUAACGGCUUACCAAGGCAACGAUGCAUAGCCGACCUGAGAGGGGGAUCGGCCAAACUGGAACGGAGAACCGGCCCAGAAUCCUACGGGAGGCAGAAGGAGGGAAUCUGCCGAAAUGGGCGAAAGCCUGACGGAGCAACGCCGGGGGGGUGAUGAAGGUCUUCGGGUCGUAAAACUCUUUUUUUAGGGAAAAAAAAAUGGGUAAGUAACUGGGCCCAUUUGGACGGUACCAAAACAAAAAGCCCCGGCAAACUCCGG
rnacentral:rRNA from 1 species